CCCUAAACCUGAUAGCAGUGGAAAUACUUUUUAAUUGCGGCCAACUUAAAUAUGAUGUCAUGCUGAGGCACGAAGCAUCUGUAACGGAUGGAAAACAGGUUUUUCGCUCCUCAGUACGGCAGCUGUAUUAAAAAGAUUGAAACGAAUAGCAGGGCUGUAA
rnacentral:sRNA from 1 species